rnacentral:rRNA from 1 species
AAUUAAUUUAUUAUAAUUAUAGUUUAUUAGAGUAUAGUAUUAGAAUUUUGAAAUAAUUGAAAUUUAUUUUUAAGGAAGAAGAAUAUUUGUACCUUUUGUAUCAGGGUUUAUUAAAAUAUAUAAAUUAAUUUUUUAUUCUCGAAUUGAAAGGAUUUAUUUAUUAAUAAUUUUUAUUGUGGUAAAGAUAUAUUAAAUUUGUAAAUGGUAAUGAAAUGUUAUUCGUCUUUCAAGAUAUCUGGUUUCUUGAGAUUGUAAUUUAAUUUCUGUAUUAAUUUAUAAUAUUGUGUAAUUUUAUCUUGUUUGAGAGUUAUAAAUAUUAUAUUGAAUACAAAGUGAUUUGGGGAUAAGCUUGAAUUAUAUUAUUAUAUAACUUUUAUUUUUAUAUUAUAUGAGUUUUGAAGUGUUUAUUAUUUAUGAGUAUGUUAUAAUACAAUGGUGUUUAUAUUUAUAUUUUUAUUAAUUUUUUAUUGAGAUGGUUGAAUUAAUUAUUUAUUUGAUAUAAUAAUGAUAAAAUUAGUAAAUUGAUUUAUUUGUUUAUAUAGCUUAUUUUAUAUUAAUGGGAAUUUGAAUUAAGGAAUUAGGCAAUAUUUUGUUCGCCUGUUUAUCAAAAACAUGUCUUCUUGGUAUGAUAUGAAGUCGUGCCUGCCCACUGAAAGUUUAAUGGCCGCGGUAUUUUGACCGUGCAAAGGUAGCAUAAUCAUUAGUCUUUUAAUUGGAGGCUGGAAUGAAUGGUUUGACGAGACAAAAGCUGUCUCAGUUUAAUAAAUUGAAUUUUACUUUUAAGUUAAAAGGCUUAAAUAAUAAUAGGGGACGAGAAGACCCUAUAGAUCUUUAUAUAAUAUUUUAAUUUGAAUAUUUAUGUUUAUUUAAUAUUUAAGAUUUUUUAUUUGGUUGGGGUGAUAAGGGAAUAGAAAAACUUCUUUUAAUUUAACUAUGAUUUUUGAAUGAUUGAUUUUGUAUUAUGGAAUUGAGAUUAAGAUACCUUAGGGAUAACAGCGUAAUUUUGUUGGAGAGUUCAUAUUGAUAAUGAAGAUUGCGACCUCGAUGUUGGAUUAAGAAUAUAAUAAGGUGCAGAAGCUUUAUGAAUUGGUCUGUUCGACCAUUAAAUUCUUACAUGAUCUGAGUUCAAACCGGUGUAAGCCAGGUUGGUUUCUAUCUCUAUUUAUUUUUGUAUUUUAGUACGAAAGGAUUAAAUACAUUAAAUUAUUUAUUUUCUUGAAAUUAAUAUAAAU